rnacentral:antisense_RNA from 1 species
CAGUACGACAUUGCUCACAUUGCUUCCAGUAUUUUUGCCCGCACUUGUGCGGGCUUUUUUU